GCAAUGCAACAAAGACACAGUGAAGGGUAAAAUGGAAGCGUGUGGUGUCCCUCAUGGAAAAACUCACCUGCCCAUCACUUGAAGACAUUUCCAGUCAUCAGCGGCUCAUCAUUCACUGAAGCAGCCACUCACAGGUUGGAUUACAGCGAGGGCUGGUGUCUUUGAAAGAUGGUGUUGAAAUCUUUCUGCAAUGGCUAAUCCAGGAGGACCUCUGAAUUUCCCAGCAGUGUGGGUGCUUCAGGUUUUUCAGGUUUUUAUUGUUCGUGCUGAGCCAUCUCGCUCUAGGGGAAGGGACAUCCUUGCACUGACUGACUUACUGCUUUAGGUGCUGAGAAGGUGUCUGGACGAAGGAGAGGAGCUGCUUGUGACCCAAUGGCAGAAAG